rnacentral:sRNA from 1 species
AACCACAGCCACAUGGCUGAUGUGCUGCUUGAGGGUGCUGUGUCAAGCAGCAAAUGGGAAAUUGAAGCAAUCCGUACUACCCAUGCUGUCCUUCUGAAGAAGCCACCAGGCUGGAAGUCAGGUAUCUCAGUAACGAAGAAGACACAUACAUCUCAAAUUGAAAUUAUUCCAUGCAAGAUCUGUGGAGACAAAUCAUCAGGAAUCCAUUAUGGUGUCAUUACAUGUGAAGGCUGCAAGGGCUUUUUCAGGAGAAGUCAGCAAAGCAAUGCCACCUACUCCUGUCCUCGUCAGAAGAACUGUUUGAUUGAUCGAACCAGUAGAAACCGCUGCCAACACUGUCGAUUACAGAAAUGCCUUGCCGUAGGGAUGUCUCGAGAUGCUGUAAAAUUUGGCCGAAUGUCAAAAAAGCAGAGAGACAGCUUGUAUGCAGAAGUACAGAAACACCGGAUGCAGCAGCAGCAGCGCGACCACCAGCAGCAGCCUGGAGAGGCUGAGCCGCUGACGCCCACCUACAACAUCUCGGCCAACGGGCUGACGGAACUUC